CCUCCAUCUCCCUAUCUCCAGGUCUCCAUCCCCCCAUCUCCCAGCCUCCAUCUCCCUGCCUCCCGCUCCCCAUCUUUCUGCCUCCAUCUCCUUGCCUCCCUACCUCUAUCUCCCAGCCUCCCUCUCCCCCAUCUCCCUACCUCCAUCUCUCCACCUCCAUCUUCUCUAUCUCCCAGCCUCCAUCUCUUCACCUCCAUCUCCCAGCCUCAAUCUCCCCCACCUUCCUGCCUCCAUCUCCUCUGUCUCCCAGCCUCCACCUCUCCUGUCUACCAGCCUCCACCUCCCCUGUCUCCCAGCCUCCACCUCCCCCGUCUCCAAGCCUCCACCUCCCCUGUCUCCCAGCCUCCAUCUCUCCACCUCCCAGCCUCCACCUCCCCUGUCUCCCAGCCUCCAUCUGCCCUGUCUCCCAGCCUCCAUCUCUCCACUUCCCAGCCUCCACCUCCCCCGUCUCCCAGCCUCCACCUCCCCCGUCUCCCAGCCUCCACCUCCCUCUUCUCCCAGCCUCCAUCUCUCCACCUCCCAGCCUCCACCUCCCCUGUCUCCCAGCCUCCACCCCCCCCCAAGCCGCCAUCUCCCCUGUUUCCCAGCCUCCACCUCCCCUGUCUCCCAGCCUCCACCUCCCCUGUCUCCCAGCCUCCAUCUCUCCACCUCCCUGCCUCCGUCUGCCCCAUCUCUCUCCAUCUCUGCCUCCAUCUCCCUCCAUCCCUCCCCUCUUUCUGCCUCCUCCCUCUCUCUCCACUGAUAUUCAUUUGUGGUAUAUUCGGUUGCCAUGGGAAACCUAAGAAAGAAGUGAGUGUACCCUUCAAGACUUCAGCAUUCUCCCUCCUCCCUCCCUCCUGCUGCCCCCUCCCCCUCCUUCUCUCCUCCUCUCCUCUCCCUCCCUCCCUCCCCUCUCUCCCCCUCGCUUCCUCCUCGCAGAAGGAGAAGACCUGGGUGAGAAGCUGCUGCCGCCUGAGCCAGACUGGGACCGAGACCCCGUUGCUCCUGCUGCCGCUGCCAGCGCAGGGCCUCCCUGAGACCAGGCCAGGGAUAGACCUCGUGGGCCGGAGGGGCCCCCUUAGCCUGCAGACAUCGAGCAGAGACGACUGGCCGCCCUGAGCGCAAUUCAAUUCAACAGACAUUUACUGAGUGCCUACUAUGCGCCAGGCCUUAGGCUAGGCACGGGGGUGGGGGAGCAGAGAGGAAGAUGGGGUCCCAUCCUCAGGUAGCUCUGGGCUGGGGGGGCUUGGAGAAGCUGAACGGCUCAGCACCAGGAGAGAAGCUGCAUGCGGGGCUGGAAGCAGCAGAGGUACCUGGGUUCCAGUGCCUCCCUGGAGAGCUGCUGUCUCUCGUCUGUGCCUCAGUUUACCCAUCUGUAAAAUGGGGGUGGGUGAGGUGAGGUGGGGUGAGGCGAUCUCUAGGAUCCUUCCAGGAUUCCAUGGGGAUAGAAUCAAGGGAUGGGGGUAGAGCAGCAAGACCACUACUCUCCCUGCACAGAGGAAAUCUGAAGGCUUCUUGGAGGAAGAGGCAUGAGGUCCGGGUUAUAGGGGGUGGAGAAAAGUGGGAAUGGCACCCAGGCUUAGGAACAGCAUGAGCAGAGGCCCAGAGGACAUGUAGAUGGGCAUCCCCACAGCUUCCCAGGUUUAAAGGGAUGUCAUGGGGUAGGAGCUGGGUGGGGGAGGGGCCCAAGGGUGACAUGUUGGGGUGUGAGCUCUGCUCUGUGAGCUGUUCAGGGCAGAGAGUCAGGAACAAUGGUCCUACUUUGUCCUGCCCCUUCUCUUCUCCUUUCCCCUAAAGAGAGUCAUAGUCAGUUCCAUGG
rnacentral:lncRNA from 12 species